rnacentral:rRNA from 1 species
CGGGGGGCAGCAGUAGGGAAUUUUGCACAAUGGACGAAAGUCUGAUGCAGCAACGCCGCGUGAGUGAAGAAGGCUCUUGGGUUGUAAAGCUCUUUCGGCUGGGAAGAUGGGAUCACUUGCGAACAGCCUGUGUUUCUGACGGUACCAGAAGAAGAAGGACCUGCUAACUACGUGCCAGCAGCAGCGGUAAUACGUAGGGUCCAAGCGUUGUUCGGAAUUACUGGGCGUAAAGCGCGCGUAGGCGGGCUUGUAAGUUGAUUGUGAAAGCCCUGGGCUUAACCCGGGAAUGGCAGUCAAAACUACAAGUCUUGAGUGCCUGAGAGGAUGGCGGAAUUCCCGGUGUAGUAGUGAAAUACGUAGAUAUCGGGAAGAACACCUGAGGCGAAGGCGGCUAUCUGGCGGUGCACUGACGCUGAGGCGCGAAAGCGUGGGGAGCAAACAGGAUUAGAUACCCGAGU